rnacentral:piRNA from 1 species
GAUCAAACUCAUGUUUGGCUUGUGCCC